UUAGUGUAAUAAUCUCGGGGUACUCUGGUAUCUACUUCUCAUCCUGCGUACGUAGAUGACGUUUUUCUGUCGCAAAAAUCGCGCGGCGACGGCGUGUGUUCAGCUCUCCUGACAGACAAAUGUGGCUCACUAGACAUUUGUCUCUGACACAAAUAAGUGAGGAAUAAAGAAUACAAAAUAUUAUCGGGAGAAGCAACAACUACUUUGCUUCAAAAUGAGUGACGACACAGACAACCCUCCUGAGAGGGAAAUGAAGGAUUUUCAGUUUCGACAAAUGAAAAAAACCAGAGUCUUUCAGCCCACUGAAGAUUUGCCAAAAGAAAGAACUAGUCUGCUUACCAUCUCAAACAAAUUUGGUUUAACUUUUGUCGGGCUCGACAGAACAUUCAAGGUUUACCAAACUCAAGACAUCCUGGGCGCUGAUAAAUUUGAUGGCAACCCCAACGAAGUAGUCGAGGGGACACCUGUAUUGGCAGAUGUGACUGUGGAUCUGUCCCUGCACCACUUAGCUCUCAGUAGUGAUGAACUCACUUUGUCAGUAUGUGGUAUUUCUGAGGCGGGGGGGUUGUCCUUCACCUUCUAUGAUGUCCGCACCUUCAUGAACAAGGCAAGAACCCAGAAACUACCUUUUGCAUCACUGCUGCCUGCAGUAGCCCCUGGCUGUUUAGUUCAAGACCUGAAGUGGAAUCCUGUCCAGCCGUCAAUGCUCGCCGCCUGUCUGUCUGACGGCUGUUUGAUGAUCUUGGAUGUUACUGGCGAUGUCAAAGUGCAGGCUCAGCUACCGGCUUCAAAUGGCAUCACAUGUAUUGGCUGGAGUCCAAAAGGAAAACAAGUUGCUGCAGGAAAAAUGAAUUCUGAAGUCAGUCAAUAUACACCUGCACUAGAGGAAAAAAGAAAAAUCCCAUGUCCCAACUUCUACACUUCUGACCCUGUCAAAGUUCUGGAUGUGCAGUGGCUGAAAACGUUUGUGUUUGCUGUGGUCUAUGCUGCUGCAGACGGGUCCCUUGAGACUCCUCCUGAGCUCGUAUUGAUCUCCCUUCCUAAGAAGGAUGAGAGGCCGGAGACAAAGUAUCUGAACUUUAGUGACACGGUGUACGGCAGCUUCACGGAGCGACAACACCACUACUUCCUUAGCCAUGUGGAGGACUGGGACCUCCUGUUUGCAGCAUCAGCGGCCUCCAUUGAAGUCAGUGUCAUAGCCGCCAGACAAGAGGACAAGAACUGGGAGCUUUGGAUCCUGGAAGAUGCGAGUAGAGCUGAGCUUCCAGUGACGGAGACGAGUGAAGACACGCUGCCUCUCGGCCUAGCCAUAGACUACACCAGCCAGCAGGCGAUCUACAUCACCGAUGAGAAGACCUUGCCCCCUGCGCCCACCAUGCUGAUGCUGUCCACCGAGGGAAUACUCUGCCCAUUUGCUCUGCUCAACCUCAAUCCCGGUGUCAAGCAGCUGGUCGCACCCCCAUCUGUCCUCGCCCUGGAUGGGGAGAGACCGCCCAUGCCAGGUGCUUUGGCUGCCCAACCACCCAAAGUCGCUGCCUCCAUCCCAUCUGCCUCCAUCCCAUCUGCCUCCAUCCCAUCUGCCUCCAUCCCAUCUGCCUCCAUCCCAUCUGCUCCAGCGACAUUCCCAAAUCUCGGUUUUCCUCCAGCUGCUGCUCCCGCUCUUCUGGCCCCUGCUGCCGCUCCCUCUGCGGCCCCGUUCAGCGUCGCUCCCGCACCUCCCGUGUCCUCGGCAUCAUCGUCCAGCUUCGCUUUCUCGGUCCCAACUACCUGCGCCUCCUCUGCUCCUCCAGCUUUCUCCGUGGCGACAACCGCACCUUUUGGCUCCGGACCCUCCAGCUUCUCCUUUGCCAAACCUCCCUCUGACACUCCCUCAGCACCUUCAGCCUUUUCUUUCGCCCCACCCAUCAAACCAGCAGCGGUGGCAUCUCCACUUCCAACUCCGACACCCCAGAGUAUUGCUGCUGCCUCCCCGCCAACAGUGAAACUGAAUCUGGCUGAUAGGUUUACAGCAUUGGAGACACCAGCACCAUCUCCACAGUCUUUCUCCUACAAUCCCUCAAUGCCCAAACCAGUGACCCCCAUUUCCAGUAGUUUGACCGCCCCUCCACCAUCAGCCGCUAAACCUCCAGCUGUAAUGGCUCCAGUGCGUCCAGUUCAAAUCAACACGCCCCCCACAGUCGUCCAGAAGCCUGCUCCUGCUCCUGCUGCACAGGGCCGCGUCCAAACACCACAGCAGGCAGCUGUUAGUAUCAAGGCCUUGGAGAAGCAGCUACAGCAAAAGAAAGACUUUGAUCCAAUUAUGGUUGGCAUAUUUGAAGAGAUUGCACACUUCCAGAAGGAGUUAGAUGAUCUGAAGACUCGAAGCUCUCGAGCUGACUUCAAGGUCGGCACAAAUGAUGAGAUGAAGGAGCUGAGGAAGGAGUCAGAGGACCUCCAUAUUUUCACCCUCGAGAUAAAGGAGACAACAGAGUCUCUCCAUGGGGACAUUGGUACACUGAAGACCACCUUACUGGAGGGCUUUGCUGGGGCAGAAGAGGCAAAGACCCAAAGUGAGCUAAGCAGAGACAGAAAUUACAGACAGCUGCUUUACAAAAAACCUCUGGACCCCCGCAGCGAGGAACGACUCAAGGAGAUACGAAGGCUGUACCAGUACAUCAUGUUUGCUGUGGAAGAUGUCAAUGAUGUGUUGGAUGUGGAAUGGGAGAAACACCUGGAGAAAAAGAAAAAACAGAAACACAUGGUCGUGCCAGGGCGUGAGGGUCUGUUCACUACGUUGGCCAACAACCUGUACAUCAUCAACCAGCAGAAGAACAGACUGGACCAGUUGGUCAAACAGCUCACUUCUCUGCGCCUCUACAACAAGACUACCGCUCCAACUAUAAGCUGCAGUGCUGCUGCUGCAGAAACUGCUUCUGGCUUGGAAAGCGAGAUUGAGAGUUUAAGGGAUGCACUCCUGAAAGCCAGGCUGGACACCAACCCUCCUAUGCCCAAACCCAAGUCUCCAGUCAAGAUAUCGCCAGUGAAACAGUCCCAGUUGCGUAACUUCCUCUCAAAGGGGCAGAUGCCUCCUGUCCGCUCAACUGCACCAGCCAACCUGUCCCGCUCAGCCUUCCUGUCCCCUAAAUACUACGAGGACUUGGACGAUGUGAGCUCUUCGUCCUCCCUGUCCCUGGAGCCCCACCCAGCUGACUUGGAGAUGGAGGAAGAGGAGCUACAGUUGGCACCCCUUCCCCUUUCUGUCCUUCCUCCAGCAUUGUCCACCCCCCGCCACCCCACAGUCGUGAGGACCCCCUCUAUCCAGCCAGGCUUCGGGGCCAUCCAGUCCACCCCUUUGACCAAAAUGCACUCAGUGCAGGGUUUGGGCUUUGGACUCAGCCCUAUUGCCAGCCCUGAUGUUUCAGUUCCGAGCAAUAAGAUUAACCUGAGCGGGGCUGAUAGCACUGCCCUCGCCACAAAGACAGUGAAACAUGGAGCCCCCCCGAAUGACAGGAGCGUCCCCGCACAGCAGGCUGCAGCCACUGCCGCCCUACGCAGGCAGAUGGCCAAUCAGAAGACAGCUGUUGUCGGUGCAUCCUUGACAGAGUCCACUCUGAAGAACGUGCCUCAGGUGGUCAAUGUCCAGGAGCUCAAGGACAAAGGGCCUCCGAUGCCACAGUCCAAUAUCAUCAGCUCAUCAGCAGGAGACUCCGGAGCUUCGGUCUUUUCAACAGUUUCGUCUCACCAGGCCAAACGAAAUCCUAGCCAAGGUUUCCAGAAGAUGUCCAAUGAAAUCAACCCACAGUCGAGCUUUGUGUUUGGUCAAUCAUCCAAAACAGAGUCUCCAGUGGCUCCUGCUAGCACCGCAGAGCAAAACACCAGCAAAGGUUUCUCCUUCGCAUCAGGGGCCACUGGCUUCAGUUUUUCUUCUGUUACACCGGCAGCUGGAGUGCCACAAGUUAACGAUGCGAAUAAAUUCUCCUUUGGUGGAAAUGGUAAGAUGAUGUUUAGCCAGUCGGCAGAGGAGCCAUUCUCCCUCACCCCAAAGUCCCCCUCCCCUGCUCUCGGAACCGCCUCUCCCACCCUGCCCCUGUCAGGAGACAAACUGGCCCUGAGGACAGAGCCACAGCCCCUGAAGCCCAUUGGGGGGGAAACUCUGGGCAUCUUCUCUGGACUACGUGUGGGCCAUGGAGAAGAAGCCCAAGAUGCAUCCGCCAAACCCACCGCUGGCUCAUUUAGCUUUGGAGAAGCUGGACUCGGUCUAGGCAAGGGAGCGGCGCAGUUUAGCUUUGCUCCAGGCCAACAAAAGUCUGCAGACGAUUCUGCAGGAGCAGACCUGUCCAAGGGGGCAGCGUUGGGGAGUUUGUUCAAGCCCCCUGAACAAAACCCCAAGCCGGCCUUCUCCAUCCCUCAGUCCGGUUUAGCAGCCUUGGCUUCACCUACGUCUUUCAGCAGUCUUCUUGCGGCUUCUCCAGACCCUUCAGAGGAGCAGAAAGGUUCCCCACCACUUUAUGAACCCACCCCACCUCCAGCUGUAGAGAGCCCCAGCCCCCCUGCAGCCCCCGAGCCUGCAGAGGAUGCAGCUGCCACAGAAACCACAGCGAUUACAGCACCAUCGCCCUCACCUCCUUUGGCCGCAACCUCCCCGCCCCCACACCCUCCCUCAUAUUUCACCGCCCCAGCUGAUGCAAUCCCACCAGCCAGUGCGGCUCCCACAACAGAAGCCCCCCCAGACAGCACCACGACCGCUAGUCCUGUGCCCACAUCUGCUGCCCCCGCCCCUGCUGUAGCACCCACCCCUGGUGUAGCUCCAACAGCCUUCCAGGUGCCCAGUUCUGACAAACCAGGCUCCAUUUUCACUCAAACGACCCCCACAAUAACGGACAGCAGUUCCCUCGGAGCUACACCAGUUAUCAGCACAGUUGCCGCUGCAGGCACCACCCCUACCUCCACUGUUGUUAGCACAGCUACUACUGCUAGCACUGUGUUUGGGCAACCUGCUGCCCCUCCAGCUUCCUCUGUCCCCCCAGCCCCCUCAGCCCCAGGGUUUGGCUCAACUGCGUUUGGUACACCCUCUGCACCUGGUUUUGGAAAUUCUGUGUUUGGCCAGGUGAGUGGCUUCGGCCAACCUGCCACCAACACUGAAACACCUGGCGGCUUUUCUUUUGGCCAAUCUGCAUUUGGCGCGAGUUCUAACAGCGCAACUACUGGAGGAAGUCUCUUCGGUGCCGCCACUGCCACCAAUGCCAGUUCCUUCUCCUUCGGCACGAGCAGCGCCAACACAGCCAGCAGCACCGGGUCAGGGCUGUUCGGACAAACCACAGCACCGGCAUUUGGCCAGAGCUCUGGAUUUGGGCCAGGGCCUGUGUUUGGGAGUAACACCACCACAUCUUCAUCUACAGGAUUUGGAUUUGGACAGCCCUCAGGUGAGACUUUUGGCUCUGCUGCGGCCCCUGUGUUCGGCCAACAAUCUAGCAGCGGAAGUGUAUUUGGACAGCAGCAGCAGCAGCAGCAGCAGCAACAGCAGCAACCAUCGUCUGGUGGCAAUCUGUUCGGCUCAAGUUCAGCCAACGCAGCGGGACAAACCGCUGGAGGGGGAUUCUUCUCUGGACUCGGAGGCAAACCCAGCGAAGAAGCUGCCAACAAGAACCCAUUCGGCACCGGUGCUUCCCCCGGAGGGUUUGGGCAGCCUGCUCAGACAGGUACCCCCUCUCUGUUUGGGACUAGCAGUGCCAAGUCCUUUGACUUUGGGCAGAGCUCCUUUGGGGAGCAGAAACCCAGCGGGACCUUCACCACCGGGGCAGGGAGUGUCGCAGCACAGGGAUUUGGCUCCUUCUCAUCUCCGGCAAAAUCAGGUGGUUUCGGCAGUGCUCCGGUGUUUGGGAGCCCCCCUUCCUUUGGGAGUUCCCAAGCUUUUGGUGGUGGAGCAUCGUUCGGAUCGACCCCUUCCUUCGCCAACCCAAUGGUGCCCUCCGCUAGUAAAGUGUUCGGAGAGGGAACAACGGCCUCCAGCAUGGGAGGGUUUGGGUUUGCCUCACCACCCAGCGGCCCAUCCUUUGGGUCCCUAGCCAAUCAGAGUGCUCCGUCGUUCGGGGGCCUAGCCCAGCAGAGCCCUGGGUUUGGGACUCAGCCCAGCAGCUUCUCCGGCUUUGGACAGCAGCCACAACAGGCGGGAGGUGAGACUACUGCUUUAGAGGCUCUGUUUGUCCCUAUUCCCUCAUCAUCAUCAUCAUCAUCAUCUUCAAAUGUCCUUCCCAGCACUUCUACAUAGUGUAUGCUGCAGUCAGUGUCUCAAGGGUACUUGGAUUCCCCGGACACACAAACACCUUUGGGUCUGCUAACCAGCACAGAUCCACAUGAGAGAUUAAAGGAGGAGGGGGGUUCCACAUCCACGUCAACAUACAGGACCACGUGACCGCACAUCAACAGCUGGGACAACUCAACAACAUCGAUGUGGAAAAUGGCUGUGAUUGAAAUGAUUCAAAUAAUCAAAUAAUGCUCUAUCUGCUUUUUUAGACCUGACUUCUCCCUUUUUUUAAGCUGUUUUAAAUUGUUUAAACUGCAAAGAGAUAGAAAUUAAAGCACCAAUGACCAGAAA